AGAGUCCAGGAAAAAUGUGGUGCCUUUUAGCUAAAAGAGGCUUCCUCAAGAUUGCUCAGGGUAGCACUUAUUUUACUAGCUUUGUGACCUCAGAAGAGCUUCCUCCAGAAUCUUGCAUAAUUGGGUGUGAAUCUCAGCUCUGCCACUUAUGAGUUAUGUGAUCUGGGAAUCCUCUACAGAUGCAGUGAUGCCCUUCUAGAGAUUGCAUUUAUACUUUUUUCUCCACUGACAGAAGAGCCAGAAAAGUGCUUUGGAACCUGGGAAGGGAACUGCCAAUUCCUCAAGCAUGGGUGUUGGUCUUCCUGGAAUCCAUUACCUGGCUCCCCAAGGAAGGGUGAAAACACUUGGGAUCAUUAAAGAAAUCAAUCUGAGUGAUGUGGACUCUCAGAGACCUGAGCAAGUGCGCCUUGUGGUCCUUGAACCUUAAUGAAGUCAGAAUCCUCAAUUUGCAGGAUCCUUGUUACUAAGAAAAUGGAAACUGGGCCAAAAAUAUAAACGAUGCCCCUUUGCAGAAUCCUAAAGGAAACAGAGAAACUGGCAACAAUGGACAAGCCACUCUCAUGGGCUCCUUUUUCCCAGGUUUUUUUUUCUUUUCUUCUUUUUGAGGAAGAUUAGCCCUGAGCUAACAUCUGCCACCAAUCCUCCUCUUUUUGCUGAGGAAGACUGGCCCUGAGCUAACAUCCAUGCCCGUAUUCCUCUACUUUAUAUGUGGGACUCCUGCCACAGCAUGGUUUGCCAAGCGGUGUGUAGGUCCGCACCUGGGAUCUGAACCGGCGAACCCUGGGCUGCUGAAGCGGAAUGUGCAAACUUAACCACUGUGCCACUGGGCUGGCCCCUGCUUUUUUAAAACUCUAUGAUUAUAUAACUUUGAUAAAAAUCAGGAGAAUAAGGACCUAGAACAGAGUGAGGGGACA
rnacentral:lncRNA from 1 species